GACGAACGCUGGCGGCGUGCUUAACACAUGCAAGUCGAACGGAAAGGCCCUGCUUUUGUGGGGUGCUCGAGUGGCGAACGGGUGAGUAACACGUGAGUAACCUGCCCUUGACUUUGGGAUAACUUCAGGAAACUGGGGCUAAUACCGGAUAGGAGCUCCUGCGGCAUGGUGGGGGUUGGAAAGUUUCGGCGGUUGGGGAUGGACUGGCGGCUUAUCAGCUUGUUGGUGGGGUAGUGGCUUACCAAGGCUUUGACGGGUAGCCGGCCUGAGAGGGUGACCGGCCACAUUGGGACUGAGAUGCGGCCCAGACUCCUACGGGAGGCAGCAGUGGGGAAUAUUGCACAAUGGGCGGAAGCCUGAUGCAGCAGCGCCGCGUGCGGGAUGACGGCCUUCGGGUUGUAAACCGCUUUCGCCUGUGACGAAGCGUGAGUGACGGUAAUGGGUAAAGAAGCACCGGCUAACUACGUG
rnacentral:rRNA from 1 species